rnacentral:rRNA from 2 species
GGGUUGUGAGGUUAAGCGACUAAGCGUACACGGUGGAUGCCCUGGCAGUCAGAGGCGAUGAAGGACGUGCUAAUCUGCGAAAAGCGUCGGUAAGGUGAUAUGAACCGUUAUAGCCGGCGAUGUCCGAAUGGGGAAACCCAGUGCAAUUCGUUGCACUAUCGUUAACUGAAUACAUAGGUUAACGAGGCGAACCGGGGGAACUGAAACAUCUAAGUACCCCGAGGAAAAGAAAUCAACCGAGAUUCCCCCAGUAGCGGCGAGCGAACGGGGAGCAGCCCGGAGUCUGAAUCAGCUUGUGUGUUAGUGGAAGCGUCUGGAAAGUCGCAGGGUACAGGGUGAUACUCCCGUACACUAAAACACACAGGUUGUGAACUCGAAGAGUAGGGCGGGACACGUGGUAUCCUGUCUGAAUAUGGGGGGACCAUCCUCCAAGGCUAAAUACUCCUGACUGACCGAUAGUGAACCAGUACCGUGAGGGAAAGGCGAAAAGAACCCCGGCGAGGGGAGUGAAAAAGAACCUGAAACCGUGUACGUACAAGCAGUAGGAGCCCACUAGUUGGGUGACUGCGUACCUUUUGUAUAAUGGGUCAGCGACUUAUAUUCUGUAGCAAGGUUAACCGUAUAGGGGAGCCGCAGGGAAACCGAGUCUUAACUGGGCGUUAAGUUGCAGGGUAUAGACCCGAAACCCGGUGAUCUAGCCAUGGGCAGGUUGAAGGUUGGGUAACACUAACUGGAGGACCGAACCGACUAAUGUUGAAAAAUUAGCGGAUGACUUGUGGCUGGGGGUGAAAGGCCAAUCAAACCGGGAGAUAGCUGGUUCUCCCCGAAAGCUAUUUAGGUAGCGCCUCGUGAAUUCAUCUUCGGGGGUAGAGCACUGUUUCGGCUAGGGGGUCAUCCCGACUUACCAACCCGAUGCAAACUACGAAUACCGAAGAAUGUUAUCACGGGAGACACACGGCGGGUGCUAACGUCCGUCGUGAAGAGGGAAACAACCCAGACCGCCAGCUAAGGUCCCAAAGUCAUGGUUAAGUGGGAAACGAUGUGGGAAGGCCCAGACAGCCAGGAUGUUGGCUUAGAAGCAGCCAUCAUUUAAAGAAAGCGUAAUAGCUCACUGGUCGAGUCGGCCUGCGCGGAAGAUGUAACGGGGCUAAACCAUGCACCGAAGCUGCGGCAGCGACACUAUGUGUUGUUGGGUAGGGGAGCGUUCUGUAAGCCGUUGAAGGUGGCCUGUGAGGGUUGCUGGAGGUAUCAGAAGUGCGAAUGCUGACAUAAGUAACGAUAAUGCGGGUGAAAAACCCGCACGCCGGAAGACCAAGGGUUCCUGUCCAACGUUAAUCGGGGCAGGGUGAGUCGACCCCUAAGGCGAGGCCGAAAGGCGUAGUCGAUGGGAAACAGGUUAAUAUUCCUGUACUCGGUGUUACUGCGAAGGGGGGACGGAGAAGGCUAUGUUGGCCGGGCGACGGUUGUCCCGGUUUAAGCAUGUAGGCGGAUGUUCCAGGUAAAUCCGGAACGUUACUAACGCUGAGGUGUGAUGACGAGGCACUACGGUGCUGAAGUGACAAAUGCCCUGCUUCCAGGAAAAGCCUCUAAGCAUCAGGUAACAUCAAAUCGUACCCCAAACCGACACAGGUGGUCAGGUAGAGAAUACCAAGGCGCUUGAGAGAACUCGGGUGAAGGAACUAGGCAAAAUGGUGCCGUAACUUCGGGAGAAGGCACGCUGAUGGUAGGUGAAGCGACUUGCUCGUGGAGCUGAAAUCAGUCGAAGAUACCAGCUGGCUGCAACUGUUUAUUAAAAACACAGCACUGUGCAAACACGAAAGUGGACGUAUACGGUGUGACGCCUGCCCGGUGCCGGAAGGUUAAUUGAUGGGGUUAUCCUCGCGGAGAAGCUCUUGAUCGAAGCCCCGGUAAACGGCGGCCGUAACUAUAACGGUCCUAAGGUAGCGAAAUUCCUUGUCGGGUAAGUUCCGACCUGCACGAAUGGCGUAAUGAUGGCCAGGCUGUCUCCACCCGAGACUCAGUGAAAUUGAACUCGCUGUGAAGAUGCAGUGUACCCGCGGCAAGACGGAAAGACCCCGUGAACCUUUACUAUAGCUUGACACUGAACACUGGUCCUUGAUGUGUAGGAUAGGUGGGAGGCUUUGAAGUGUGGACGCCAGUCUGCAUGGAGCCAUCCUUGAAAUACCACCCUUUAAUGGCUGGUGUUCUAACGUGGGCCCCUAAUCGGGGUUGCGGACAGUGUCUGGUGGGUAGUUUGACUGGGGCGGUCUCCUCCUAAAGAGUAACGGAGGAGCACGAAGGUCAGCUAAUCCUGGUCGGACAUCAGGAGGUUAGUGCAAUGGCAUAAGCUGGCUUGACUGCGAGCGUGACGGCGCGAGCAGGUGCGAAAGCAGGUCAUAGUGAUCCGGUGGUUCUGAAUGGAAGGGCCAUCGCUCAACGGAUAAAAGGUACUCCGGGGAUAACAGGCUGAUACCGCCCAAGAGUUCAUAUCGACGGCGGUGUUUGGCACCUCGAUGUCGGCUCAUCACAUCCUGGGGCUGAAGUAGGUCCCAAGGGUAUGGCUGUUCGCCAUUUAAAGUGGUACGCGAGCUGGGUUUAGAACGUCGUGAGACAGUUCGGUCCCUAUCUGCCGUGGGCGCUGGAGAAUUGAGGGGGGCUGCUCCUAGUACGAGAGGACCGGAGUGGACGCAUCACUGGUGUUCGGGUUGUCAUGCCAAUGGCAUUGCCCGGUAGCUAAAUGCGGAAGAGAUAAGUGCUGAAAGCAUCUAAGCACGAAACUUGCCCCGAGAUGAGUUCUCCCUGACUCCUUGAGAGUCCUGAAGGAACGUUGAAGACGACGACGUUGAUAGGCCGGGUGUGUAAGCGCAGCGAUGCGUUGAGCUAACCGGUACUAAUGAACCGUGAGGCUUAACCUUACAACGCCGAAG